rnacentral:lncRNA from 1 species
UAGCCAGUAAGGAUAUGGAGCAGCUAUGUGUUUAUUGGUGACGCGCGUACACCCUGGUGCAAGGGGGAUCGUUCCACCUAACUUGCACCCCGCCAGGAGAAAUGGUGCUAUAGUUAUAGGUCAAACUAAUACAUAAUCAGUAGUUGACAGGAAUUCAGAUACAUCUUCAUUACAUUCCCGAGAGCCCAUUAGCAUGCAGUCUCUCCCCCCCUUGCGCGGGCGUAGUAGGUCGUGAUGAUGAAGGCUUGCAGUCUUCCUCACAAAGGCUCGUCGUCUUCCUCGCUGCAAACUUCUGACCCUGAAGGGGGGGCAUCCCCCAAACCAGUUUCAACUUGCCCUGUAGACAACUAAUCACCUCCCUGCCAAAUGUUUUUUCGAGCUGCUCUCCAGCCCUCAUCUAUAUGGCCUUCAUCCUCCUUGCUAUUCCAGACCCAGUGUCUGUGAAAGUGCUUGGAACCCCUUGUUUUCUAACACUCUCUACCUAAACUAUCUCUAUUUGCCCCUUGUUUCUACUUUGUGAAGCUGCUUUCCCCUUUCUUGCUGUGAGGCCCUUCUCUCUCAAACUGCAGGGUCCUGCUCUCUCUCUUCAAGAGCAGUCAGAAGAAAGACAAGUGAGAAUACAGGGAACAAAGAAAAGCAGAGAGGAGAGCAGAGGCAGCAGAAAGAGGAGUGAGGAUACAGAGAAGAAAGAACAGGGGAAGAGGAGUGCAGAUGCAGAAUAAAGACAAGUCUGGCAACAGGAAACAAAAUCCAACAGAAGAGCAGUGCUGAUGCAGAGGGAAAAGGAGUGAGGAUGAUGCAGGGGAAUAAGAACAGGAGAAGA